ACAUGUCAAUCGAGAAAAGAUAUGCAUGUGGAAUUAUUGAGAAUGAGAGGCAAUAGGAAGAUAGCAGGCUACCAAAGAGGCUACUAGACAAGUAACCGUCAACUAACUUGGCAAUACGGGGUUAAGCGGAGCACACCAUAACAUGGUCGUUGAAUGUCUAAAUUUUUUUUAGUAGUAAAGGAAAAUAAAUAUUAUUACGUAACUGAAUAAUUAUAUUGAGCCUUAAGGGCAUGUAUAUAUAGAUUGACAUAGUAAGAAAAUAAGAAAUAAUGUAUAUAUAAAGGAAGGAGUACAUACAAAUCAAUCAUACUUUAAUAUAUCAUCAACUAUCGUAU
rnacentral:lncRNA from 1 species